rfam:Myotis brandtii contig156282, whole genome shotgun sequence.
AGGCCGGAGAGAGAAGCAGGGUCUGAUCUGCAGCCUCCAUGGCAGCUGCUGAUCAGCCCUUGCCUCUCUCUCUCUCUGGG